rnacentral:rRNA from 1 species
AUUGAACGCUGGCGGCAGGCUUAACACAUGCAAGUCGAACGAUUGGCGCACGGGUGAGUAAUGCUUGGGAAUCUGGCUUAUGGAGGGGGAUAACGACGGGAAACUUUCGCUAAUACAGCGUACCAUAGGCUACGCCCAAGUGGGAUUAGGUAGUUGGUGGGGUAAUGGCCUACCAAGCCGACGAUCUCUAUCUGGUCUGAGAGGAUGAUAGGCGACAUUGGGACUGAGACACGGCCCAGACUGCUAAGGGAGGGAGCAGUGGGGAAUCUUCCGCAAUGGACGAAAGUUGACGGAGCAACGCCGCGUGAGUGAUGAAGGCUUUCGGGUUGUAAAGCGCUGUUAAUCGGGAGACGGUACCGGAAUAGAAAGCCACGGCUAACUACGUGCCAGCAGCCGCGGUAAUAC